CACGUAGGGGACGAGCGUUGUCCGGAUUCAUUGGGCGUAAAGCGCGUGUAGGCGGUCCGGUAAGUCCGCUGUGAAAGUCGGGGGCUCAACCCUCGAAUGCCGGUGGAUACUGUCGGGCUAGAGUGCGGAAGAGGCGAGUGGAAUUCCUGGUGUAGCGGUGAAAUGCGCAGAUAUCAGGAGGAACACCAAUUGCGAAGGCAGCUCGCUGGGACGUUACUGACGCUGAGACGCGAAAGCGUGGGGAGCAAACAGG
rnacentral:rRNA from 1 species